rnacentral:rRNA from 1 species
AUUGAACGCUGGCGGCAGGCUUAACACAUGCAAGUCGAGCGGUAGCACAGGGGAGCUUGCUCCCUGGGUGACGAGCGGCGGACGGGUGAGUAAUGUCUGGGAAACUGCCUGAUGGAGGGGGAUAACUACUGGAAACGGUAGCUAAUACCGCAUAACGUCGCAAGACCAAAGAGGGGGACAUUCGGGCCUCUUGCCAUCAGAUGUGCCCAGAUCGGAUUAGCCAGUCGGUGAGGUAAUGGCUCACCUAGGCGACGAUCCGUAGCUGGUCUGAGAGGAUGACCAGCCACACUGGAACUGAGACACGGUCCAGACUCCUACGGGAGGCAGCAGUGGGGAAUAUUGCCCGAUGGGCGCAAUCCUGAUGCAGCCAUGCCGCGUGGGUGAAGAAGGCCUUCGGGUUGUAAAGCACUUUCGGCGAGGAAGAAGAUGGUGACCUUAAUACUGUCAUCAAUCGACGUUACUCGCAGAGGAAGCACCGGCUAACUCCGUG